rnacentral:lncRNA from 1 species
GGACAGGGACAGGGCCGUUGCAAUAACCGUUGUAAGCUGGGUAACCGAUAGGUGAGGCUUGGUAUGAGGCGGGGAUAAGCUCAGGAGAGUAUGGAUAAGGUGGGCUCCUGUUGCUGUAGACAGUAGUAGGUGGUGAUGGGUAAGCCGCUGCAGGUGAAGCGUACUGAGGGGAGUGAGACGGUGAUCUGAUGAACGGGAAGGAAGAGACGUACGCGUUUGUGAUACGCCCGGCUUUUGCUGGUGGCAUUGGACCGUUGUAGCUGGCUCUGGUUCUCUUGUUGGCCGGCACAGCUGCUGGUUUUCUCUUCUCGGUUUUGGUCUUCUCUAGCUGUUCCAACCGCUUCUUGAGGUUCUCCGGAGGGAACUCUUCCUCGAGUUUGUACUCUUCUAUGCAUUUCAAGACCGCCUUAAGAGCUGACUGCUCCUUGCGCGCCACAAGAUGCUAACAUAACAAAGAUAAUGAAUUUAAACUUGCGAAUAAAAGAUGUUCAAGGUGAGAUAAACGAGUAGAUUACCGAAGCUCGGCCAGUAUUGCUGGAGUCUUCCGCGACUGUCUUCUUUGCAUCCCUCAGAUAGGCUUUGAGUAGAGGAACGGGAGGGAACUUAUCCACAAGGCCAACUUCAUAAGUAAAAUGAACUGCAUCAAGCUGUUGUCCUCUGCUGAUCAACUCUUCAAUCAUAUCUGUUCAAGCAUAACAACUCAAACCAUUAUUCAUAACCUCAAGAUCAUCAGUAUCUAAUCUGGCUUACAUCUAAACUCACACCUUAUGUCACUAAAGUUUCAGACUUCGCCAAUAAUAUCACAAGAAGAUAGGAGCUUAGGCUUACCAGGCAUUUGAUCACCCAAACCAACUAAAACAGCAAGCUUUGGCAUCUGUUUGCGCCACGCGGAUCCAACGACAAGCUUUCUGUACAGACCAAGAUCUUCACUUUUAACAAUCCCAAACGUCACAAGAUGCUGAAGAAACGUAUGGACAUCAGGAGUCUUGACAUUCUCCACCCUUCCUCUCUCCUCCAAGCUCGCCUUCCACGUCUCCGCAAUCUCCUUAGCUUUCUCCUUAACGCUCGGAGUAACAAGCAGCCUCGUCUUCCCAAUCACUGGAUCCACCAUCACAGGUGCUAAGCUCUCCAGAAUCACCACACAAGCCCAUCCAAAAUCGUUAGUCAUCUUCUCUCCGGAGCCUCUCUUAUCCACGGGAAACACCUCAGAUAUCGCCUCGAGCACCAACAUCGCCGGAUCCACACAAUCAACCAACGCAGCCGGAAUCUGAGACCGGAGCCCCUCAAGCUCCUUCUUCCUCGCCGUCACGAAACUCCAGAACCCCCUCGCGUCCAUCUUCAAACAGAGAGACUUCAAAGUAGAGAGAAGCCCUUCCUCAUCGUCAACCUCGCCGCCGCCGCCGCCGUCAUCUCCUCCGCCUCUAGCUUUCUCAAGCGACUCCAGAGCAGCUCUAGCUCUCUCCCCGACUUUCCCAGCGACGAUCUCCACGCUCCGCUCGAUCGUAGCCUCCCUGCGCUUCAGCGACUCGAGGGAGCUCUGAGUCUGGCUAUCCAGGGCUCCGAUCAUCUCCUUUAACGCCUCCGAUUUCUUCAUGAGGUUCUCC